UCUUUCUUUCUCCAGCUGGACGGUAGAACUGACAGGGGAUCUGGAGACCAUCUCCCCACUUCCUGGCUGAGACCGAGGGCCCAGAGGUGUGACCGAAUCACCCCGAGGCAGUUACAGAAGCCUGGGCCAGUGCUGUCCACGUACAUAUGUUUUCCUGCCUUCUUUGAGUUUAUAUCUGGUGGAUGAGAUAUAGUGAAAACGUUUUCUGGGAGUUCCAGUAAAGCUGCAUAAAAGGCAAGAGGUGAGAAUUGCUGCUGAGAACCCGGGGAUUGAACUUGAUGGUCAACCACAGUAUAUGGCGAAUUUCCUAACAAAUUUGGGGAUGAUCCAGCUUUGGGAGAGGAGAAAAGAAAAGUAAGGAUCACCUGCUUAUAAAAUUUAAGUAGCAUAAUUUUUUUAAUAGCAAGCAAAACAACCUUGCCCUGGCUAACAAUUUUCACAGUUUCUGGUUUUUAUUAAAAUUUGGCUCCCUACGCAAGGUAAAGCAAUCGAGUGGAUAA